UACGAAGGGGGCUAGCGUUGCUCGGAAUCACUGGGCGUAAAGGGUGCGUAGGCGGGUCUUUAAGUCAGGGGUGAAAUCCUGGAGCUCAACUCCAGAACUGCCUUUGAUACUGAAGAUCUUGAGUUCGGGAGAGGUGAGUGGAACUGCGAGUGUAGAGGUGAAAAUUCGUAGAUAUUCGCAAGAACACCAGUGGCGAAGGCGGCU
rnacentral:rRNA from 1 species